rnacentral:rRNA from 1 species
AGCACCACAACAGGUGGAGCCUGCGGUUUAAUCGGACUCAACGCCGGGAAACUCACCAGAUAAGACAGCUGAAUGAUAGUCGGGCUGAAGACUCUACUUGACUAGCUGAGAGGAGGUGCAUGGCCGUCGUCAGUUCGUACUGUGAAGCAUCCUGUUAAGUCAGGCAACGAGCGAGACCCACGCCAACAGUUGCCGGCUCGUCCUCCGGGAUGGUGGGGACACUGUUGGGACCGCCUCUGCUAAAGAGGAGGAAGGAAUGGGCAACGGUAGGUCAGCAUGCCCCGAAUAUCCCGGGCCACACGCGAGCUACAAUGGUUGGUACAAUGGGUAUCUACCCCGAAAGGGGACGGGAAUCUCCUAAAACCAAUCUUAGUUCGGAUUGAGGGCUGCAACUCGCCCUCAUGAAGCUGGAAUCCGUAGUAAUCGCGUUUCAACAGAACGCGGUGAAUACGUCCCUGCUCCUU